GACUGGUCUGAAGGUAGUGAGUUAUCUCAAUAGAUUGUUCACUGUCAGUUACAGAUUGAACUUCUUGUUCUACUUUUCCCCUUCUUAGUACUGCGCUUGACUGCUCUGUU
rnacentral:Y_RNA from 1 species